ensembl:lncRNA
UUGAUACUAAUUUUGAAAGUCAUGUAACUUCUUUUGAUAUCUGGGCAAAAGUAACCAUAUGCUAUAAGCAUUUGAAUAUGUUUAAUUUUGUCAUAAUAGCAUCUGUAAAAGUACAUCUUACACAUUAUAUAGAGGGUUCUUGUUUGAAAUUUUCAGUUCUCUUUAUCUUCCCAGUACAUCUUGGUCCUCAUAAUGGGCAAAGGAUACAACGAAGGCAGGUGGCUUAGGGGUUAUAGUGGGGAAGUGGAUAGGGGAUUCAUUUUCUUAUAUGACAUUUUGCCUUAAGAAUAUAAAAUUGCUUUAGCACUGAUGGCUGGCAUUUUUAAUAUAGGUAGUGAAAGUGACUUUAGAAGCAUGGGAUGAAAUAGAGGGAAGAAGAGUUUUUAUUUUCUGGCCUUUAAAAAGUGCCUAGUAGGUCAUUUGAGACCCAGAGAAGUGCACAGAGCUUGAGCAAAGGCAUGAAGUCCCUGAUACUCUUUUCCUUUUUGUCUCAGCAUAUAGUAUUAAGAUGCCUAGAAAUAGGACUCUAUUGUCCCCCCUUGUAUAGGCACUUUACAUUUCUUGCUGUCACUACAGCAACGACAUACAGUACAGACAACCUCCAAAUCUGUUUAUAUUAGUGUAAAUAGAAAAACUAUAGACAACUUUCUAGUUUUCUCUGGAGGCAUUUUUGGGAAUGUACGUGUAAUAGGCUCUGCUUUGUAUACAGGAGAUAAUACCACAUCAUCAGUUAUCUCCAAACUCCAGUCUUCUCUCAGCUGCCCAGUUGUAUCUUGCCAUCAAUCCCUUUUUCGAGGCUGGGUAGAGACAAGUUUCUCCUUGUAACUUGGACCUCUCCCACUCUCCAAAUGUAAUCUGGACCUCCUUGCUUUCAAGGUCAGCUUCCCCAUAGCUCAGGUAUCCCUUGCUCUCCUGUAUCUUCAUUUACUAUUAGUGAAGAGAUCUCUGUCCUGGAGGUUAUUCUAAACUUUCUUUGUAACUGUUGUUAUAGACAAUGGUUUCCAAACCAGUAGUUUCUAUGUAGCUUUUCUAGUUCCUUGCUAUCUUCUCACCACUGGCUUGAGGUAGUGAUUUGGACUUUGCUCAUUAGAGAGCAUUAUCAGAGAUGUGGAGUCCAUCAGAAGACCAGCUUGCAGUGUGUGUAGCAUAUAGAUGCCAAUAUUAGAAUUCUUUAAAUUAUAUUUAACAUUUUCAUGCUUCUUAAUUUAACUUCACAUGUUGGGAAGUAGAUUCAGAAAGAUAGGAGAAAUACCCAGACUCUGCCACUUCCAUGAGCUACUGGUUAGGCAUGGGCAGGAAUAAGUUUUAUGUGUAUUAUCUUCCCACUACCAAGAAUGGUUAUGUUUCACAGAAUACCAGUUCAGUUUGAGUUGGAAAAAGAUGCCAAAUCAAAUUUAUAUGUAGUCUAUAACCUAAGGGCAUUCUUGAAACUAUUUCCCACAUCCCAUUUUUAUUUCAUGUUUACUUACAAAACAGAGAUAAACAUUAGAUGUCUAAAGGAGUUAGUAAUGAAAAGCCUAUCCUUUAAAAAUAAACCUGUUGAAAUGGGCUUUAAAGACAUCAAAAUAAUCACUUGUCAUGCAUUGACUGUAAAUGUAGAUAGAGAAAUAUGUCUUUAAAGCUCCACUUACACAAAAAUACAACUUGUAUAUCAUGCUCCCUCAAAGAAUAUAUGAUAGAUUAUUUUAAGACCAUGAUAAUAGAGUAAAAAGGAAAGAAAGCCAGAAAUUAGAAUUUGGAUACUAAAAAGUAACUUUCUAGUUAACCCUAAAGUCCUGUCAAAUUGUGAAGAAAUGUUCCAGGAUACACUUGGAUUAGUUAUGCAGUAUUUCUUAUCAAUGUCUAGCCCUUGUGUAUUGUUCUGAAAAUUAAACUUUAAAUCUUUAUGCUGUUGCCUGCUAGAUAUCCCGUUCUUUGGUAAAAAAUUCCUAUAGUCUGUACUCAAGAAGUGCCUAAAAAUGGAUUUGUGUUGAUUUUAAGCCCAUCUAAUAAAUUAUAUGUAUUUUCU